rnacentral:rRNA from 1 species
GUUAGGAAUAUUGGACAAUGGGCGCAAGCCUGAUCCAGCCAUGCCGCGUGAACGAUGAAGGCCUUCGGGUUGUAAAGUUCUUUAGCCGAUGAUUAUAAUGACUGUAGUCGGAAAAUAAGCCCCGGCUAACUUCGUGCCAGCAGCCGCGGUAAUACGAAGGGGGCGAGCGUUAUUCGGAAUCACUGGGCGUAAAGCGUGCGUAGGCGGUUUUGUAAGUUAGGAGUGAAAGCCCAGGGCUCAACCUUGGAAUUGCUCUUAAAACUGCAAGGCUCGAAUCUCGGAGAGGAUAGCGGAAUUUCCAGUGUAGCAGUGAAAUGCGUAGAUAUUGGAAGGAACACCAGUGGCGUAAGCGGCUAUCUGGACGAGUAUUGACGCUGAGGCACGAAAGCGUGGGGAUCAAACAGGAUUAGAAACCCUAGUAGUCC